CACCUCUCAGGGUCGCAUCUGUAGAGUUUCCAGUAACUCUACCAGUCUCAGCUAUGGGAGGGAGAGUCAAGCAGAGGCAUACCCAAUCCAGUCCUAGCUUGGCCAAUGGCUAGUGAGUGGAAGGUAAUCUGCUAGAAGC